rnacentral:lncRNA from 1 species
UAAGAAAACUAAUGCUUAAAGAGAUUGUGUCUUGCUCAAAGUCAUACAACUAGUAAAUUUCAGGGGACUAAUCUUGAAACCCAUUUUUUCAUGAUCCAAGACCAUCAUUAUUUCUAUUAUAUUAUAUUGUCUCUAGACUUUUGUCAAGAAACUAAAAUGAAAGGAAAUCCUGACACAGAGAUCCAAUUCAAUUCUACAAAUAUUUAUUGAGUUCCUACUAUAUCCAGCCCACUAAGAUCAGUGUUAGAACUAUCAUAAAGAAAAAAAUAGUCUGUUCUUUGGAGAGUUUAUAAUGUAAUAAGGAAAAUGUGAUGCUCCAUUUACACGAACACACGUGAGGCAGAAUGUGAUAAAUGUAAACAAUUGAUUUCCCAUAAUGUUCUAAAGUGUUAGAUGAGGAAAACCACUUUCAGUUGGAUGAUAGGGAUGGGAAUACAGCUGAAUUCACUUAGGUGAAUUCAUCUUGAGUGACUUUAAGGAAGAAAGGAAUUUCAGGGCUGAGCUUUUGUGUUAAUCACAUGAAGUUGUAUUGGACACUUGGCAAAACUUAAUGCACUAUACUUAAUGUAAGUAUUGUUGUAGACUGAGAAAGGGGGAAAGUCCAGAAAAUAUACAGUUAAAUAAUCUGAGCUUUUAUGCAUUUUGUCAGGUUGGGUAUUUAGAGAUCACUCAUAUCAAAGUCUCUGAAUCAACUUUUCCCCCACCAUUGCAGUUUCACACCAAUCAUGAAGUAGAAAUAGCUCUUAAAAUUCGAAGCAAAAUGACCCAAAAUUUUCUUUCCAGACUCAUUAGGUAUUACACUCUAUUAAUCUUCACUUCUGUACUUUGUAUUUCAGAUAAUCUGACAGUCUCUCUGUUCUUCAUCCUCAUGGAGAUGAGGAACAGAUGAAGAAACUAAUACUGGAAGACAUUAAGUGACUUCAUCAGGAUCAAACUGAUGAUAAGUAUUUAUUAUAGAGGUCAUAUUCAGGAAUUCCUGUCUUCAAAUCAAAGAAGUUGGCAUGAUGGUAAAAUAUGUCAUAGUUUAACUCUUCCAGAAGAUAUUGACCAGUAUACAUGGAAUUCAUCUUCCAGAGAGAACAAAGUGAAGCCGACCAAAUUGAAAUCAGAAUGCUGGGGUACUCUGAUGAGAAGAAACCUAUUGUUUUACAGCAUUAAUUGAAACAAAUUCAGCUCAGGGAACCAUCUAUCAAAUUCAGUUCAAAUAAGUGGAAAAAUGUCAGAUGUGAUGUGGGUCUUGUACUAGCAUUAUAUUUGAAAUGAUAAAUAACUUUGAAGCACAAUACUAGCUAUCUCUCUCAGAUAUGUUGGUGCCUUCAAAGAACCAUAAUUUCAUUUUUGUGAGCAUGUCUUCAACAGAUACAGAUCAAAACAUCUCCCCUUUUUCUCACAUGUCCUCUGUGAUAGAUACUCCUUGAAUAUCAUUUCCAAAGAAGUAAAAAUGAAGAUAAUCACACAGGACACAAUGGGAUGGUUCAUUGUUGGUGAUUAGACUACAAAAGGAAACCACUGAAGAACGUUGAAGAACAGGAGAAAAAAAUCUAUAAAUGAACUGUAAAAUAAGAAAUGAUAAUCAUUCAUGAAAUAAGUGCAAGAGAUGAAAGAUAAACAGGCAAAGGUAUUCUCUUGUAGCAUUGGGAUGUCAAGAAAAAGCCAGGAAGACCUUUACCUUCUUGGAUGAAGUUUAUGUGGUUAACUAAGAGGAAAAUAUGAGCAAGAUCUAAGAUAGCUAUUAUCAGGAAUGGAUGGGCAGUGAUCUCUAUAUUUGGACAGAACAACCAGAUACAAGGUCACAGAUCCAUUGAACUAUGAUUAAUCCUAGAAGCUUUUAUGCAAUUUAUUGUAGAAAUUCUUUUCUUGUUCUUUAAGUAUCUUGACUGUCAACAUUUUACAUAUCAUGAUAAGCUUCUUUUUCUUCUUUGGGAACAAGAAUACCUUUGCCUAAGGAAGAAGAAAAUACCAUGGAAUCUCUUUAAUAAGAUUUGUAAUCAAUAACGAGUUUGCCAAUAAGGUCCCCUCAAUUCUAUUCCCAUCAAUAAUCAAAUGAGAUAAGCUUACUAGGUCAAACUACAAAUGUAACAAGUGUAUAAAGAAUGCAUACUACAUAAAUUAUGACAUGCAACAGGAUGGGUACCCCAUUAAGUAAGUAAGUAUUCAUGUUAUUCUUCACAGGCUUCAUAGCAGGGCACUUCUGAAGAACAAUGAGCCAGACACAGAACUGAAAAAGUGGAAGGAAUUAGAUUGGCUUUCAUUUGGGAGACUACUUUAUUGCAAUGAUUACCAACUGCUCCCUGACACUUAAAUCUUUCUUUUGAGCAACAAUCUUCUCUCAGGGCUUCUAUUUUCCUAUAACACAUUUUUCAAACAAAACAGAAUUGUAGUAGCCCAAAAUAAACAUGAGAUGUGCAUAUUUAAAGAGUCUCUU